ACGUUUGUUUGUUGUUUUUGAAACCAGUUGAUAAUUUGCAAGUGAUAUGGAUGCUGAAAUUUUUAUUUCACUUCUUCAGCAACUACCAGUGCUGUGGAACUAAUUCUGUGAUGCAAAUUUCUGCUCAAAGUGAAGCAAUGGUCACAGGUGCACGAUGUCAUCAUUGAGCAUAUUGCCACGGACUAUGUUAUUAACGCAACAUCCCUUAUUUGAAAUUAUUAUUGAACGAGUUCGGGGAUGUCAAACAAAUCACCAAUUGAUUCAUCGAGGGGCGGAUUUUGAGCGAAUUUAUCGUGUUUUACUGUAAUAAUGAAAUAAAAAACACUCUAGAAUGAAUGGAUGUGCAUACAUUCCCUUGUAGGUAAAUUCCUAAAUAAUCACAGAAAGUGAACACAUUAUACAUAUAAAUAAAUAGUGCCUCUAGCUUGUUA